GAUGAACGCUAGCGGCAGGCCUAAUACAUGCAAGUCGAGGGGUAGAGCUAGCUUGCUAGCUUGAGACCGGCGCACGGGUGCGUAACGCGUAUGCAACCUACCUCAAUCAGGGGGAUAGCCCGGAGAAAUCCGGAUUAACACCGCAUAAAAACAAAGGGUAGCAUUACCAAAUGCUCAAAUAUUCAUAGGAUUGGGAUGGGCGUGCGUGCAAGUAUCUAGUUGGCGGGGGAACGGCCCACCAAGGCGACGAGGGCUAGGGGAUCGGAGAGGAUGACCCCCCACACUGGUAAUGAGACACGGACCAGACUCCUACGGGAGGCAGCAGUAAGGAAUAUUGGUCAAUGGGGGCAACCCUGAACCAGCCAUGCCGCGUGCAGGAUGACGGCCCUCCGGGUUGUAAACUGCUUUUGUACGGGAAUAAACCUUUCUUCGUGAAGAAAGCUGAAUGUACCGUAAGAAUAAGGAUCGGCUAACUCCGUGCCAGCAGCCGCGGUAA
rnacentral:rRNA from 1 species